rnacentral:ncRNA from 1 species
AGCUGAGCGCCAUGUUCCGCUGACGAGUUCAGCAACAUGCCCAGGUAGCCUAGACCUUCAAGGCUACGGUGUGCCCGCCACACUGGUUACAUAUGUCUCGGCGUGACACUGCGCCUUUUAUCAACCUGCAAGGGGUCUCCCUCCCUUGCGGGCGG